CCUACAGCAGCAAUGAUGUUGAUCCCACUCUUCCUCAGCUCUCUCCUCUUGCUCAUUCAAGAUUCCAAGGGGCAGGUGACCAUUAGUCAAACUCCAGCGAUGUCCACUAGUCCAGGAGGCACAGUCACAAUCACCUGCAAACGCAGUGGAAGGUUUUCCAAUGGUGGCUGUAGUCCACCGUGUGUCUCCUGGUACCAGCAGAAGCCUGGAGAGAAACCCAAACUCCUCAUCUACAAAGUGAAGACCCCCCAGUCUGGUAUUCCUGCUAGAUUCAGUGGCAGUGGAUCUGGGAAUGACUACAGUUUGACCAUCAGUGGAGUCCUGAGUGAAGAUGCUGGAGAUUAUUACUGCAUGAGUAGCCAUGAGCGUUCCCUGGGACAGGUGACAAUUACUCAGCCCUCUGUGUUGGCUGCCAGUCCAGGAGAAAGUGUUACAGUCACUUGCAAGCGCAAUAGAAAUGUGUAUGAUGGAAACAACGCUAUGUCCUGGUACCAGCAGAAGCCUGGGUAG